rnacentral:lncRNA from 1 species
CUCCUAAUAAAGGGGACCUCUUAAGAGUGCCACUUUGGUCAUCUUUUGAACCUUUAUAUGUUAAUGGCUGCUACUGAGGCGUCCUGACUUGUACGACUUAAAAAGAAAGGAGCAAAAUCUGAGUUUACCUGAGUCUCUGGGGAUCUGUUUCCUCCCCAUAAACAGCAGUGAACUGAACCGCUACUGACUUAGCAAGCAGUUUGCAUUGAAAGACCCUGAAGAAGCUAUUCCCAAGUAAUAACUCAGGCAGCUGAGCUGGGAAGCUGGUUAUAUGAGUUUAUGUGUUUUGUUUUUAACCAAUGUGUAAAUAAACAUUAAAUUGGAGUACAGUUGUAUAUCAAGCUAUAUCCCUAAUCUCUGGGUCCUGUUACUUGGUAGGAGCUCAGCAUUGAGGAUCUCAGGUUGCCCACCUCUUUCUUUCAAAAGAAAACACUUGUGGGCGGUGGAGGCUGGUUUUCUGGGAAAUGUGGGCAACAUACCUCAGUAAUUUUUUUGGAGAUUUCAGAAAAUUUUUAAGCUUUUGGCCUCUCCAAGUGUAGUAGAGUAGUAGAAUUUAAUCUUCUUUCAGUUUUCUUUGCAUUAGUUCCUUAAGGAAAUAAAGAAGCACAGUAUAUUUCAAUUAUCAUAAGAAUUUUAGGAAAUUUAAAUUAAAUGCCUGGUUACCACCUUUGGAAAGAUCAUGUGAAAAAAAUCUAUCACUUCUGUUGUAGAUCUUUUUUAAAGAGUGGUUUACCUGAAUCCUUUUUACAGCUACUACAGAUGUUUAUAAACUUCUGAAUUCCACUCUAAAAGCAGUGGUGGAGAUUGUAUGUAGUAAUAGAAACAUCAAGGGGGAAAAAUCACUGGGUUUUGUUUCUCAAAAAAAAUGGACCCAUAAUCUGUAAAGGACUAAGUUACAUAUUUUCCUUGAAAAUGUACUUCUAGGUCUCUGGAUUGGCUGCUUUUUAGAUUGGCAUGGUUACACUGACUUCAGAAUUGAAACAGUUUGUGUCUAUCACACAAGUUUAAUGUCACCAUGCAUGUUUGAAAGCCAAGUAGCUUGUAAUCCCUCCAGUACAAAUUAUAGGGAGUUCUACAUUUGGGAUAUAAGUUGGGGCAAAACUCCGUGUGCUUCUGUUCUAAGCACAGUUAGCAUUUGACCUGUAAUAACUUCUAAGAAUGGGAGUAUCUGUAUCUCUGAAAAUAAUGGGAUGGCUAAAUGCUGCUUUCAUAUUAAAUUGCUGUU